GUUGUCGUAUCAAAGAGAAAGGCCCAUGUUUGUAAAGAGACAACACGAGCUUGGUUUUGCUGAUUGACCGUCUUCAAAAGCUACAUUCAGCGCUGGAACGCUACUGCAUGCACAAUUAUUCCGACAGUGUCAAAAUUAUUCUGGGUUUACUACUCAUAGAUUCUGUAUAGUCCUAUCCUGCAGAGAUGACCAAGUGCAAGAAGAAGAAGAGGCAGGAUGACUUCCAGAAGGUCAAGCUGAAGGUGGGGAAGACCAAGCCUAAAGCUGACAAUGCCACCAACAUCAACUUCCGCACCAAGGGAAUAAACCUAACUGAACAGCUGAAGAAAGAUACUAAUGCACCCACCACACACCGGAAGCUCAACAUCAAGGACCUGUUGUCCCAGCUGCAUCACUACAGUGGUACAGUGAAACAGGGAGCUCUUGUGGGACUGAGGGAGCUGCUGACCCUUCACCCCUCAGAGUUAGACCAACACCUCUCCAGUCUGCUCAGCGAGGCUGCUGCCGUCUUCACAGACAAGGACGCGAAUGUACGGAUGUCUGCCACACGCCUGCUCAGGUUCAUAGCCCAGAGUGUGCCAGCGGAGCGGACGUCUCCAUUCUUCCCUCUCCUCUCUGCCCACCUCUCCUGUGCCAUGACCCACAUCGAGACGGGUAUCCAGGAGGAUGCCCUGAAGGUCCUCGACGUUUUGCUGGACCACUAUCCUGCCCUGCUGGCUGCUCGUCCCGCCCUGCUGCUCACCAACUUCCUGGAGCUGAUCUCACACAAAAGUACCGGGGGCGGGGCAAGGAAGGGGCUGGAGGGGAAGGGGAGGAGCUGGGCCCUGUCAGUCAACCCUAACAGGAACGUGACUGGUCAGCAGUGGAGACUCACAGUGCUGCUCAGACUGGGGCGUUUUCUUCAGGCGGUAGUUGAGGAGAGGCGAGCGGAGGAGGGGGUUGCAUGUGUCUCAGGUGACAUGUUCAGUGUUUUGAAUGGACAAGGAGGAGCUAACGCACCUUUGGAGCUCAACUGGGAGGAGCUUACCUACAGAAAAGACGGAUUUCAGGUGUUUGAACAUUCAGGAGCCAUGCCCACUCCGCACUCCACCUUCAAACUCAGGCCGGAGACUGAGCCUGGGGCUGGGGUGAGUGAGGGGCUGGGCACAGGGGAGGCUGUACGGGGCUUUGCCUCCACCCUGGUGCCCCUUCUACUAGAUGUCUGGGUAGAGGCUAGUGCCAGCGACCGGAGCAAGACUGACAGUGCUCAUCUCCUCACCCCCGACGCCAUGUCACUGAUGUACCAGGUCCUCUCCAUACUACAGCUGCUACGCAAGCUGGCACCACAGAGAGAACACCAGGAUACACUGGAUGCGUGGUUUCGCAGUGAGUACCUGGGGGAUUUUAAGCAGCACUUCAUGAAGAACUUCCCCUAUGGAAAUCUGGACACCCCUAAACAAAGGCGGAAGACAGACCCCAAGAGGAGUAAGCAGGCCCCUACAAUCUCAGGGCAGACAGUGGAACCCUUGGCUCUGAACGUGCUGCUCUGCCAGGUCAUGGUGUCCAUGGUUACCCUCAGCCAGAGGGAGGGGCAAGCCCAGGAGCCCGAUGCCGAGUGGCUGAUGCCUCUGAGAGGGUUUGUCCAAGAGACUCUGUCCAGUGGGGCCAAGCUGAGCCAAAGACAUCUACAUACACUCCUGGAGACUGUCUGGAGAAUGGUCAUCACACAACGCAGCAGGGCGGUGACGGAGGAUCUGUUACAGGCGGUGUAUGUUCAGUACCAGCAGAUGAACCUGAAUCUGCAGACCAGAACACUGCUACUUUCCUUCUACAGCAGACUGUACCUACAGGAACACAACCACACACAUAUCGCCAGGAGUAGAGUGUUGUCUCGGUGGCUGGCUGCUCUACCGCUCCAGUUGUCCCAGCUAGGCCACCGUAACCCUGCCCUCUCAGACAGGCUCCUGCUCUCCAUCCAGGCUGCUGCCUCCCGCGGGAACAAGGCUCUGCUGAACUCCCUACACACGCAUGCAUGCAGGCUCUACGACCCACAGGAGGGCAGUGUGGUAUUGUUACCGGCUGAGUCUCAGCAGCGAUUGGUCCAGCUACUCUACUUCUUGCCUGUGAUGUCACAGGGUCUAUUGGCCAAUCUGAGUCGCUGCUGCACUGCGGGACGCGUCUCUGCUGGCCUGGCUGCCUCCCUCAUACGCAUCAUACACCUCAGGUCCUCUUUGAGUGGCUGGUCAGUAGGGUCUCAGGACACAACCCUGCGUGAUGUUGACUACAUCAGCUUCCUGUUCUCCACCCUCACAGGGUUUUCGUCUGAUGAGCUGGCCACCCUGCAGGAGGCUGGGGAUGAGAGCGUGCUCCCUCCCUCCCCCCUCUCCCCCCUCAGCCUCUACCCCACCCCCCUGGAGCAAUUCACACACCACUGGGACGUGGUGGAGGAAGUGUGCCACUGCUUGGAGACGCUGGGGUCUCGUUCACAGUGCUUUGAUGUGCUGCAGAACGGCAUCUGCAAGAACCUGACUGGUCUGGCUGUGGUACCAGACAGUAUGGCAGCAGGGUUGUUGAGAGCGGUGGCCAGACUGUUGGACCUGUCCUUCCUCCCCAGUGAACCUCUGCUGAGGUUCCUGUCCCGCUGCUGCCUCAGCCUACUGUCUCUGCUACUGACCCUACAGCAGGACACCGCCUCAGAGAACAACCACAAGAGGGAGGCGGUGUGGGGUGCGUGUGUGGCAGCGCUGAGCAGCAUUCCCCGGCUGUUGCGGUUGGUUCUGCAGUCGUUGCGAGUUAGGGACCUGUGUGAGGAGGAGCUGCCUCAGCUGGCCCAGAUACUGUCCCUGCUGCUGCAGCACACAGCGCUACGCAACCACAUGCUGGCUAACGCAACUCUACUACAACACAUUAUACAGGACCUCACGGUAAACACACACAGUGCUACGCAACCACAUGCUGGCUAACGCAACUCUACUACAACACAUUAUACAGGAUCUCACGGUAAACACACACAGUGGUACGCAACCACAUGCUGGCUAACGCAACUCUACUACAACACAUUAUACAGGACCUCACGGUAAACACACACAGUCAACUACUCAACCACAUGCUGGCUAACGCAACUCUACUACAACACAUUAUACAGGACCUCACGGUAAACACACACAGUCAACUACUCAACCACAUGCUGGCUAACGCAACUCUACUACAACACAUUAUACAGGACCUCACGGUAAACACACACAGUCCUACGCAACCACAUACUGGCUAACGCAACUCUACUACAACACAUUAUACAGGACCUCACGGUAAACACACACAGUGGUACGCAACCACAUGCUGGCUAACGCAACUCUACUACAACACAUUAUACAGGACCUCACGAGGUACUGUCGAGGUGAGUCCAAGGAGCAGUGGAUGACUGACCUGCUGUACUGCUACAGCGUAACCAUGGCGACUCACCGGGGAAACCUGGGGCUCCGAGACAUCUACUGACCUAGGCCCCAAACCAACCACAGACCCUUCUGUACUCUGUCUAACCCACAUGUCAAACUUCUUCCACGGAGGUCAUAGUGCCUGAGGGCUUUCGCUCCACCCUUGUACUUGAUGGAUGAAUUAAGGUCACUAAUGAGUAAGGAACUCCCAUCACCUGAUUGUCUUAAUUGAAAGGAAAAAACAAUAACCUGCAGACACUCGGUCGUCCGUGGAAUGAGUUUGACACCCCUGGUCUAACCCAACAUCCUGUCUUCCCCAUCGGUCUCUGGCCUCCUCAUUCAGCUUUUAUUCCUGGCCCAAAACCAACUGUCUUCUUCAUAUUGCUAAAUAUUGUGGCUGCCACUAGUCCUGGAGAGAUAAAAGGAUGUGCAGGCUUUAGUUACAGUGCAGCACUAACAUACUUGUUUAACUAAUCACCUGAAUCAGUUCUGGGUUGGAACUAACGCCUGCACACACUGCAUCUCCAAGACCACGAUUGAAUUAAAGGAUUUCUCAACUGAUUACUGUUUUUAUUACAAAAAGAGAAAAUAAAGCUGGAGUCACUGAAA